CAGCCAAGCAGUGUUUUUAUUCAAUCUUCGUGGUGUAGAGGACAAUUGUUAUGCUGCUGAGAUUUUUGAGUGCUGAGUUUUGAUGACGAGUUUUCUCUCCAUAGAUGAAGAUCAGUGGGGAAUCCAUGUCUGCGAGCAUGCAGCAGUUCUCCUACAAACCCAAGGAGACGAUGCCUGCUCUACCUACGUCAACGAUUCAACCUCUCAGACCCUGGACGUACUCGGCGGAUCCCUACGAAGCUCAGUCUGACGUCGUUGAUCUGACGAGAGACGGCGAUGUCACCGGUCUAGAGGAGCCUGACUAUGAGUACCUUGACCACCUGGAGGACAUCUAUGAGAUGAUGGGAGAGGAGAUGCCUCCCUCUAGUCCUCCUCUCCAAACCACUGGUCCAUUUGGUCGUCAGAUACCAAGUGCAUCAGUGACAAGACAAUCAGCUUCCCAUGCAGAUGCCAGUUUCCUCCCUGGGCCAUACGCAGAGACAGCACACCCGUCUCCCUCCACCACCUCGGUGGGACCGGGUUCAUGUCCGGCGCCGCGUCCCGCUGCGGAGAGCAGCUACGCCUCCGCUCCACAGGCCCUGACCAACGUCAACUUUGACCUUGGAAACGAGUGGGAUGACUGGGAUGAGUUGGAUGACGUUGGCGAGGCAGACUUGCUAGUGCAUGGCCCAGAGAGCUCCCAGUCCACCCGCCGUCCACAAGAGGUCCAGGCUAGCCCCCGGCCCCCCAUUGGCUACAACUCCCUGAGAGUUGGACUCCAUUCUGGUUAG
rnacentral:lncRNA from 1 species